rnacentral:rRNA from 1 species
UACGUAGGGUGCGAGCGUUAUCCGGAAUUACUGGGCGUAAAGAGUUCGUAGGCGGUUUGUCGCGUCGUUCGUGAAAACUUGGGGCUUAACUCCAAGCGUGCGGGCGAUACGGGCAGACUUGAGUACUACAGGGGAGACUGGAAUUCCUGGUGUAGCGGUGAAAUGCGCAGAUAUCAGGAGGAACACCGGUGGCGAAGGCGGGUCUCUGGGUAGUAACUGACGCUGAGGAACGAAAGCGUGGGUAGCGAACAGG